AAAAAGGUAAGCUAAAUUAAGCUUUUGGGUUCAUACCUCAACUAUAAAUAUAUUUUUCUUUUUA
rnacentral:tRNA from 1 species